GACAGAGGGUGCUAGCGUUGUUCGGAAUUACUGGGCGUAAAGGGCGCGUAGGCGGCUUGUUUAGUCGGGUGUGAAAUCCCGGGGCUCAACCCCGGAACUGCAUUCGAUACUGGCAGGCUAGAGACCGGAAGAGGUGGGUGGAAUACCCAGUGUAGAGGUGAAAUUCGUAGAUAUUGGGUGGAACACCGGUGGCGAAGGCGGCUCACUGGCUCAUUACUGACGCUCAGGCGCGACAGCGUGGGGAUCAAACAGG
rnacentral:rRNA from 1 species